AAUGAACGCUGGCGGCAUGCCUAACACAUGCAAGUCGAACGCGACCUUCGGGUCUAGUGGCGUACGGAUGCGUGACGGGUGGGAACCUGCCCUUAGGUUUGCCAUAACUUCCCGGAUGACGUGCUGAUACCGGAGAUUGUACUCGGUCCAAAGAGUUAUCGCCGUUGGAUGGGCCGGCGUUGGAUUAGCUAGUUGGUAGGGUAAAAGCCUACCAAGGCGAUGAUCGAUAGCUGGUCUGCGAGGAUGGUCAGCCACACUGGGCCUGAGAGACGGCCCAGACUCCUGGAGGAGGCAGCAGUGGGGAAUAUAGGACAGGGGGAGAAAGCAUGAACCAGCUAUGCCGGGUGAGUGAUGAAGGUCGUAGGGUAGUGAAGCUCUUUUACCCGGGAUGAUAAUGACGGUACCGGGAGAAUAAGCGCCGGCUAACUCCGUG
rnacentral:rRNA from 1 species